GUGAAAUCAAAGUCUUCCCAUCAUCAACUAUGGGAAGAUUCAUUGAAAAUAUUAAAAUGUAUGCAAUAUGUUAAUAUAGUCUCUGAAAAGUAAAUCAAUUCUCAACCACGUGUGAUAACUAACUGGAUGAAAAUAAUAAGAGGUAAUUUUAAUAUUAAUAAUAUUAUAAUUCAUUAGAAAAUUAAAAAUACAAAUCAAUUCAUAAUUAAUAUUUAUUUUAUUCUUGUAGAUUUUCAUAACAAUACAAAAAUAAUGGCUUAAAAGGAGAUCAACAGCUUAUUGUUAAGGACCUUCAACUAAGAUAAUUUAGACAAAUUUUUUGGUUCUAUUCGAAAUUUGGGAUGUAACAACAGCCCAUCAACUACAGAAUUUUUAUCAGC